AACAAGGGGUAAACUGUCCCAGGUUGCAAAUGGAGUCAGUAAAACUCUCAGGCUGAUCAGUAGUGGGAUAGUACCUGUGAAGAGCCACUGUACUCCAGCCUGGACAACAUAGUGGGACUCUAUCUCU
rnacentral:misc_RNA from 1 species